rnacentral:piRNA from 1 species
UGGGAGCAGAAGGAUUCCAGACCAUUCCUG